AGGAGGAGGAGCACGACCACCGGUGCCUUCCUCAAAUUUUCCUGAAGGCUUUUGCUUUUCAGCUUCGGAUUUAGUAGCGGCCUUGGCAGCUUCUCUCUCAGCCUGGACCUUUUGUCUUUUAGCUUCCUCCGCAUCUAGAUAGCGUUGACGAAUAGGGCCACCAACGCGCAUGAGAUCCUCGAGUUUAGCAGUAUAAACAGCCUUAGUGGUGUCCUCACCUUCUUCAUAAAGCCAAUCUUCUGCUUUGGUAAGCAUCUCCUUAAACUUAGAGCUCUCCUCUUCGUUGGUGAAGGGAGCAUAGAUAUCAUCAAGCUUAGCACGAGUAUCGUAAAUGUAUUCCUCAAGGGCAUUUUUACGAUCAACAGUCUCAGCAACAAGCUUAUCGGUAGCAAUCAUUUGAUGUUCAGCUUCACGGUACUUCUCAAGGACUUCAGUGGGAAGACGAUCUUCUUGAACAGAAACACUUAAGUCAGCAACCUUAACCAACUUUUUAACCUUGCGCAUCUUAACAGGUUCAUCAGUCUUUUUCUCGGCUUCCUCUUCAGGAGAAGUCUCAACUGGCUCUUCCACUUCCUGUUCUUCAACAAUAUAUGCCUGUUCAACAACCAAAAUUCCAUGUAGGUCCAAACGAACCUUGAUCUUAACAAUGCUCAAAUCACCAUCUUUAUUGGGAACAACGUCAUUAAUAAGGUAUUGAGCAAUGUUUUGCUUUAUACUGCCAGGAAGCUGAGCUUCCUUAGAAUAAGCAGCCAAAAGUUUGAAAGGUGCUUUACGAUAGAAAGUCAAAAUUUUAGUAGAGGGAAUAGGGUUGCCUUCAGAAAAAACUUCCAAACUAGAAUCCUCUUCAGGAUUCUCAGGAAUGGGUUCCCAACUAAAGGUAAUGGGAUAGGUAGUGACAUCGUGAACAUGGAAUUCACGGACACGGAAAACUGGAGAAAGGAUAGCACAAGAGAGAGCGCAUCCACGAGCAACGGCUUCAUCUUGGUUCAAAGUGAAAGACAAGCCUUUGCCGAAGUAGUUAGCAAUGACUUCUUUGACAAUAGGAACACGAGUACAACCACCAACCAUCUCAAUGCUGUAAAGGUCUUCUUUCUUGAUGCCAGCCAACUCGAGAGCCUUCUCAAUGGGAGGAGUAAGACGUUCAAGUAAAGGCUUAAUGAGUUCCUCAAAAUCUGAUCUCUUAAUGAAGGAACUAGCAUCAAUGUCAUUCAUGAUCAUUUCAACAUUGAGAGGUGCAUUGGCGUUAGCAGACAGCACCUUUUUAAGACGUUCCACAGCAGUAGCUAAACGGAAAGUAGCUUUGGGAUUUGAAAGAACAUCAAUUUUGUAUUUUUCCUUGAAUUCAGCGGCAAAGUAGUCAAUAAGAGCCUUGUCCAUGUUGCGACUACCUAAGUUGCGAUCACAGACAGUGGACUUGAUGUGGAAUUGACCACGGCUGAACUCAACGAUGGAGACAGAGUAGUUAGAGUGUCCAAAAUCAACGAUGGCAACACGACGAGGGCUUUCAGGCUCAGGUAAAUCAGUUUUGGUGAUGCCAUAAGUAAGGGCAGCAGCAGCGUUGUCAUUCAUUAAACGCAAAGGAUUGAGACCAGCGAUGUUGGCGGCUUCUAAUAAAGCACGGCGUUGAAUAUCAGUAAACCAAGCAGGGAUAGAAAUAACAACAUCACUAACAGAACCAAUCAAUUCGGCUUCAGCAAUGGCUUUAAUUUUCGUAAAAUAGGCUGCUAUCAGUUGAAUAUUAGAAAAAGCAGUUUCUUCAUUCAAAUACUGAACUUUAGCUCCGACAAAACCAUCAACUUCGGUAAGUUUAGCAGAAAUAAAGUUAGAUUCAAUAUCUUUAAUUUCAGGAUCAUCAUAAGUGCGACCAGCCAAACGCUUCAAGCUACCGACAGUAUUACGAAAGUUAGAUGCUUCAGCGGACUUAGCAGCUUCACCAAGAAAACGGCUACGCUCACCAUAAGAAACUAAGGAUGGAGUGGAGCGGUUAGAAACUUCGUUGACAAUAACAUCAAUUGCACGAUUACGGGCAACAGCAAUAACGGUCUUGCUGUUACCGAAAUCAAUACCGACAACAUUCGUCCGUGAUGACAU